AACACGUAUGCAACUUACCCAUAACUCGGGAAUAGCCCCCAUAAAUUUGGAUUAAUACCCAAUAAUACAGGCGUACCGCAUGGUAUUCUUCGUUAAAGAAUAAUCGGUUAUGGAUAGGCAUGCGUUCUAUUAGGUAGUUGGUGAGGUAACGGCUCACCAAGCCGACGAUGGAUAGGGGAACUGAGAGGUUGUCCCCCCACACUGGUACUGAGACACGGACCAGACUCCUACGGGAGGCAGCAGUGAGGAAUAUUGGUCAAUGGACGAAAGUCUGAACCAGCCAAAUCGCGUGAAGGAAGAAGGUAUUAUGUAUCGUAAACUUCUUUUGUAAGAGAGUAAAGUG
rnacentral:rRNA from 1 species